rnacentral:tRNA from 1 species
GCCCACCUUGGGAUACCAGGCGACGCCGGUCGCCUCGCGCGCGGUCAUCGCCAGGGCAGGAUCGGCGCCCACGGCGGGCA